UUGGCAUCUUAAAGUCGAAUGGGGGAAAUGACAGUGCUAUUCACUGUAGCUUCCAAAGAGCAGACCAGGCUGGUAUACACCCAAUUCUGCUCUAAGGGCUUCCUGUGGGUGAAUUUGACGGAGCACCCCAAGAACUCCAUGAUGGGGUACAAAUGUUACAUCCAUGGGGAGAGGGCUGUUAUUGAGGGAGUAACCACAGGAAACAGCCCCUGCCAGUAGGGUGCCCGUCCAGAGGCAACACAACAACAAGAAACAGGAACUGAGGCCACAGUUGGUCACCGUCAGGCUAAACACCAGAGCUAGAUGUGGGAACACGAGGAUUCACCCCCAGCCUCCCGGUCUCUUGGUCUCACUCGUUCUCUCUCAAGGAUGCCCACACCAGCAGGCAGUGGAUUCCUGUACUUGGUUCCAGCCACAUGCCUAGGCAGCCCUGCCUGGCAGCUGCUCAAGCCACCCCCAGCCUGGGGACAAUGAGCCCACUGUCCAGCUCUGGGCCCAGGACUCCAGGGCGGAAGAAAUCAACAAGGAUGAAUACGAUCAGAUUUCAUGCAGGAAGUACAGGGCAUGUUAGGAGAGUCAGGGCAGGGUGCUGAAAUAUUUUCUGAAGCCAAGGUCUAAAUUUAGCACCCCAACCACUCCAGUGCGGCACAGUGGCUAAGAGCACAUGCUCUGGAGUCCUGUGCCUCCCCGGCUGUGUGUUUCUGGGCAAAUAACCUCCCCUCUCUGUGCCUCUGUUCUCUCACGUGUUAAAUGGGAUUUGUCAGCACCCCUUCAUUUUUCAAGACAGAGUCUUGCUCCCUCACCCAGGCUGGAGUGCAGUGGGGCAAUCAUGGCUCACUGCAGCCUUGACCUCCUGGACUCAAGCAAUCCUCCCACUCAGCCUCCUGAGUAGCUGGGACCACAGGAGAGCCCCACUCCCCCAGCUAAUUUUUUGCGUGUAGAGAUGGAGUCUCAUCAUGUUGCUCAGGCUGGUCUUGAACUCCUGGCCUCAGGCAAUCCUCCCAUCUUGGGCUCCCAAAGUGCUGGAAUUAUAUGCACGAGCCUCUGCACCCAGCCUCCAUCAAUUCUGAUGUAUUUUACUCAUUAGAAGGGAGUCACUAGGGCUGGG
rnacentral:lncRNA from 1 species